UGGGGAAUAUUGGACAAUGGGCGAAAGCCUGAUCCAGCCAUGCCGCGUGUGUGAAGAAGGUCUUCGGAUUGUAAAGCACUUUAAGUUGGGAGGAAGGGCAGUAAGCGAAUACCUUGCUGUUUUGACGUUACCGUCAGAAUAAGCACCGGCUAACUCUGUGCCAGCAGCCGCGGUAAUACAGAGGGUGCAAGCGUUAAUCGGAAUUACUGGGCGUAAAGCGCGCGUAGGUGGUUCGUUAAGUUGAAUGUGAAAGCCCCGGGCUCAACCUGGGAACUGCAUCCAAAACUGGCGAGCUAGAGUAGGGCAGAGGGUGGUGGAAUUUCCUGUGUAGCGGUGAAAUGCGUAGAUAUAGGAAGGAACACCAGUGGCGAAGGCGACCACCUGGGCUCAUACUGACACUGAGGUGCGAAAGCGUGGGGAGCAAACAGG
rnacentral:rRNA from 1 species